AGAAUACAAGCAUUUCAGUGAUCCAAUAUUUUUGGCACACAUCAGAAUGGAAUAUCUGCUGCAGACUUUCUGAAAAUGCACCAACAGCCCAGUGGUAGAAGUGGUAUUGUUGAAUGAGCUCUCUGUUGACAGAGCUUUCCUAUGACAGCAAGUCUCAUCUUCACCUCUCCAUCAGGUCUGCCAGGGGGUUAAAUUCCUACAAAUAAUGAGGCAAUGCCGGGCACGGCUCCUGGCUGAGGGGGGCUGAGCUGCUGGAGCAGUGGCUGGGCUGG